GGAUUAUGGCUCAGUGGUAGAGUGCAUGCUUAGCAUGUGUGAGGCCCUGGGUUCGAUCCUCAAAACCA
rnacentral:tRNA from 1 species